AGUCUGGCUGAGGCUGCAGUGCAGCCCGAAUGGGGCGUCUGGCCCCACGCCAUUAAUAUCACUUCGAAUUAGAUCAGUGGGGACUGUAAUCAGGCAGUACUGACUUAUUAUUAUUUUUUUUCCAGAGCAGCAUUUUCAUAUACCAUAGACAAAGCUGUAUUUCACUUAAAGCGGGUUUGAAAACCAGUCGGUGGUGGAAACUUUGGUUGAAACAGGACAAGAACAAGAUUUUAACUAGAUCUCCAAUCCUCUGCAGUGCCAACAGACGCUCCUGCAGACCGACAAUCAUGCUUCCUGCCGCAGAACUGAACUGACAGGAGUGAUGGAGGAUCCCCAGAGAUGCCUUGGAAUGUCACCACCUCUCGUUUCUCCUUUGUGUCUCCUCUCUGUCUGAGGGUUAACAUCUGGGCCCCUGUACAGGCCAGGGUGAUGGGGAGCCACAUCGAAAAUUCAACAUUCCUUCCGCCUGAUGUUGGCUAGAAGUGGUUUAUUAACAUGGAGUCUCUUUUAACGGAGUCCGAAAAGCCUCCUUGUAUAGUUUUGUUUCCUAAAUUUGUGUAUAUUCUCAUUUUUAUGGUAUGUGGUAAAGAUGAAAUGUGACUGUGGGGCUGUUUUCUUCCCCAUCUGUGUGAUUUUUUUUUUUUUUUUUUUUAUAUUUUUUAAUUUUAUUUUUUUAAGACUAUGAUAGAAAUGCUUGGGACUCUAAGCCUUGAUAAGUUCAUUUUCUUGGGAGGACAAAAAGUAGCGGCAGAUGCCACAAAGCACCUCGUGACAGAGCUGACAGAUUGGAGCUGUACAGACCUGCAUGUCUGCAUCGUUUACAACCUCCACAGGGCCGAGAGAACCUGCAGCAGCAUGUCAUCCACUUGUCCACUACCUACAGAAGCAGGAUCCUGUUUUUUUUUUUUGCCCCCUCCGCCCCUCCCCUUCCCCCAAUGUUCGUCCUGGUUUUUUUUUUCUUUUUCUUUUUUUUCCCUUUACAGACUCGCCAAGACUUCAGUAUUGAAUCUGCUCCAAUAUUAUCUCUUGCAGUCACACUGCUAGGGGAAAAUACUUCAGUGGGGGAGAAAUAAAUUUAUUUAUAUACCCGAAAGCCUAGUACACACUUUUCCAGCACCCACCCUGACACUAAACUCUGCCAGAAUUCAUCAGAUAGUUAGUUGGUUGGUUGGUUAGUCCCUCGGUUUCUUCAUUUUCAGAUCCACCCUUAACCUACAAGCAACUGAUCAUGUCUUCACACACUAAACUACUGAAACCUAUAUUCUCACACUUGACAGUAUUUUACUGAGGCUAAGAGUCCCCAAUUCCCACGCAGUUACUAGAUGCUUUGUAGUACACAGUAUUUUUUAUUUUUAGUUUUUAACCUUGUUGAUUGACUAAAGGGUUUUUUUUGGCUUCUUUUUAUUUUCUUUUGCUUUGCCAGUAUAUUAAAGUGUAAUCAUGUGUGUUGUGAUAUAGAAGUAGCUGUAGAAACCGCAUUGUUUCCUUGUGGUAAGUGAUUGAGAUGCUGCCACGGAUUUGAGACACUGAUGAAUGGUGCUAUUUUGGACUUUAAUCUGCUCCUUGGUAAGGUAGCCGAGAUGGUUUUUAUUUCAUAUCUCUUCACGUCUGGAGAAGGUGUUUGGUUCUUUGUCGUAUGGUUGUUGUAACUUGGUCUGGAUCGACUUUUCCCCUCCCUCCCUCCUUCCCACUCUUGUUUCGGUGUGGCUUUCUCUUUGGAUUUAUAUAUAUACAUUUAAAAAAAAAAAAAAGAUGCACACUAACAGACCAUGAAGAACAUUUUUUUUUUCUCUACGGAGAUGAUCUCUUUCAACAUGGUGAUUGUUUAAAAAAAAAAAACAGCGGGAGCAAUCACAAAACUGCAAUUAUUAAUGUUUUCCCUUUAAGGUCGAGCUGAUAUGAUGGAUUAGUUGCACUUACUGGCACUAGAAAAUUUGGCAGCGGCAAAAAUAACAUGGCAUCUAUGAGUGUGGUUUUUUUGGGGUUUUUUUUGUUUUCUCCUUGAUAGUACCAUCAAGGAUCUGUCUCUAGGAAUGUAUUUAGCAUUUAAAGAAUGCAAACUGAUGGAACGUUUAGGCAGAGUUGGUUUCUUUUGAAGUGUCUUUUGCUUAAUAUUGUAAAUACUUGUUCACCCAGGGAAAGGCACCAUUCAGAGCAUUUCCUGUAGGACAACUCCAAAAUGACUUUUCUGUGAAAUAGUCCACGAACAGGUUGGUUUAAGGUCACCAAUCAGCUGCAUUGUCUUCACCAGCCAGUAAUUAGAAGAAUCUUCUAGCAGCCAAGACCCUCAUAUCUCAUAGCACACGAUCUGAUCAUGCUCUUUCCUAAGCUGAAAAUGUAGCACUGAUGAAUUAGUGUUCAUCAACUUUUAUAAAAAAAAAAAAAUUUAAAAGUGGUUUUGUGAGUAACUUGUAGGUCUUGAGAAUAGAAGCAAAAAAGCUUUAUAUUUAUUUUGGGUAUUUUAGUAGCAAAGUGUCGUCCUUCGGUAUUUGCAGUUUUGUCUUUGCUUCCAGUUUGACAUAUAUACUUUGAACAAUGCCAAUUCAACGACCAACUUGAAAGCCCACUUUAGUUUCUUUUGUCUUCUUUUUUUUUUUUUUCCCCCCCAGUAUAGUGGGAACCUUCCCAGCUUGCUCUAGAGCUUCCCUAGUGCAUCAGCUGCAUGCUUUCCGCUUUGAUUUGUUUUCAUCUUCAUCUUGACUCUCUGCGUUGUGUUUUUUUUUUUUUUCCCUCAUAGGCUAGGUAUUCUAGCUCCUGUAAAUAGCAUAGAUUUAGGUAGGGUCUGCUGUACGAUGUUGAAAUACUAUAAUAAUUAUUGGUGUAAAAAGAGUCAGCUUGUGAUCAAUAAUGAAGCACUCUGUAUUGUAUAAGUAAUUUUGACAAUUUAAGCUGUAGUUCAAUAAACAUGCAAGUUCUCAA